AAAUUUUAGAUUUUUUUUGAAUGUCAAUAGCAAAAGAUAGUGUUUAUUUUCUAUAGGCAAACUUACAAUUUCUUAAAAUUAAAAGAAACUUAAAAAAUUUCUUGAUAGUAUAAGCUUGAAAUAUGAUAGUUUUGAAAUGAAAUCUUAAGCCUCCCCCACCCCCAUGCACUACACUUUCAGAGAUUUAUUCAAAGCACUUUACCGCAUCUUUAUUCACACCAUUUUCUAUGUAUGUUAGAUGUUUUAAAUACACCUUUUCUUAUAUAGCCAUCAUGAAGCAUGAUUCUGAGGAAUAGCUCAAAAUCCGUUCUUAGGAGUAAAAAUAGGGUAAGGGGAUACAUUUGCAGAAGAAUUUACAUUUUCUCUCCUUUCUCUUCCUUCAUCCACGGCAUCAGGUUUCCUGGAAGGUCUUUUAAAUUGUUGCCUGCCUUGUAUAUACUUCUGUGACUGCCCCAGGGUAAAAUGUGGUUUGAUGUCAUUGUCCCUUAACUGUUCUCAACCUCUUCUUUUCUAAAGCCUCGAAGAAUCCCAUGCUUCUUAGAUAAAAGAAUCAUGAUACUGUUUUUUUUCCAUGAUAUUGUUUUGAAGUACAUAUAUUUGCAUGUAUUUUAUACACUGUUUUAAGAUGGAAUAGUAGAGUAGUAUACAAGCAUUGAACAGUACCUCUUUAAACAGAAAGACCAAGUGAAUAAAAGUGAUCAUCUAAAAAUUACAUUCAUAAAUCAAAGGGACAAAAAGGUUUGCUAGUCCUUCUUGUGAUUGACUUAAUAAAUUGCUUCAUAAAUUUUAAUGCAUUUCUGGAUGUUUCCAUAUAGUGACAAAUUCAAAUACAGUUUUAAAUGAGUGGAGGUCAUCCAUUCAUUCUCCUUUGAGCCAUUUUAACUCAAGAAUGUGUAUUGCAAAAACCUUUCCUCUUUCACUAACGAAAGAUUGAUUCAUUCAGUCGUUGCUCACUUAGUCCUUUCCUCACUCAGUCAAAGGGUUACUCAGUCACUCAGUCACUCACUCCUUUGGUUAGCUGAUUAUUCUUUUACCUGGUCACUCAGUUACUCACAACUUUACUUAUUCAUCCUGUUACUCAGUCAGUUGGUCAGUCAGUCACACGAGUCAGUCAGUGGGUUAGUUGGUCACUCACUCAGGUGGUCAGCCCUUCACCCACCUAUACACUCAACAUAUCAUUAGGUGUUUAAGCAAUCAUCCAUUAAAUAAGUAAUGCAGUCAGUCAUUCAGUAGAUCUUAUUUAAUGUCCAUUUUGUGCUAUCCACAGCAUAUGAUGUUAGAAUAAGUCAGUGUACAUCAUUUUUGGCUUCAUAGUAUUCUGUUGGCUAAAUAUACCAUAGUUAAUUGAUCAGAUCCUUUAGUGUCAUUAAAAAUUCUAUUCGUUAUUAUUAUGAGUGUUUCAUAGAAUUCUUAGAUAUGCAUCUUACUGCUCCUGUCAUUUUUAAAUGGACAGAUUUUUAGAUAUUGUUUUUAUAAUAUCCUUGCCAACACUGGGUUUUGCAAAUCUUUUUAAUCUCUGCCACUCUGAUAGGGAAGAAACAGUAUCAUUAUUAUUUAAUUUUCUUUGAUUAUUAAUACUAUGUUUUCAUUUUAGGGAAGGUUUGCAUUUCUUUUGUGAAAUGACUUCAUCUUCUGGUUUUCUUUUUUUUUUAAUUUUCAGGCUAAUGUUUCAUUGUGGUCAAUUUUUAUAAAUAUUCCAUAUGUGCUCAAAAAUAAAUUUUAGGUGAAGGGUUGUAAUAUAUUCAUCAUUUUUUAGUGGAUUGUUUGUCUUUUAUCAGUUUGUGGAGCUCUUUGUAUAUUAAAGAUAUUGUUUGAAAAAUGAGUUGCAAAUAUUUUCUGUAAGUAUUUGUCUUUUGGUUUUGUUUAUGUUGCCUUUUCUCUAGAGAAAUUGAAAAUUUAAUAUAAUGGAUCUUUUUCUUUAUUGUAGAGGUGGAAAACCUCAAUGACUUCAGUGUCAUUAAUGAGUAUAAAGAGGCUUGUUAUAUUAAGGUAGUAGGGAGAAGUGGAAACCAUGGGGAAACUGGAGAGUGCUUGUCCUUACUGAGGCAUUGAAAUUCAAGUGGGAAUAAAAAAACACUUUAUUAGCCAAAGAAAAUAUGGACUCAGACAGCCAAUUUGUGUGACUUUUGUUAUAUGGAUUCUGAAUUUCCCAUUUUGUGUAAGAAAGUUUUUCCAUUCCAGAUAGGAGUCCUCUCAAAGAUUCUUCCAGUAUUUUUAAUGCUUUAUUUUUUAUAUUAAACAUUUAAUUCAUAGGUAAUCUGUUUUUUUAUAUAUAAAGUAUAUUAGUUUAGCAUGUUUUCUCCAGUUAUAUGUUUUUUGCAGUUAUGCCAGUGCCUUCUGGAAACAAAUAUCUUUUUUCUCCCCUACAGAAAUGUCAUCAUUAUCAUACUAAGUUCUCAUAUAUACUUGGAUUUAUUUCUGAAUGCUGUUUUGUUUCACUGAUUUAAGUGUAUACCAAUGUUAUUUUGGCAACAUUGUUUUAUAGUAAGUUUUAUUAUCUGAUGGGGUAAAUUUCUUCCUGUUAUUUAUUUAUUUAUUUUUAGAGGUGUGUCUGUGGCAUAUAAGUGUCCAGGCUAGGAUUUUAAUCAGAGCUGCAGCUGCAGGCCUACACCACAGCCUGGCAACACCAGAUCUGAGCUGUGUCUGUGACCUACACCACAGCUUAUGGCAAUGCCAGAUUCUUAACCCAUUGAGUGAGGCCAGGGAUGGAACCUGUAUCCUCAUGGAGACUAUUCAGGUUCUUAUUCCACUGAGCUACAAUGGGAACUCCCUCCUCCUGUUAUUUUUCUGACAAAUGUAUUAAGAGUUCUGAUAAAUUAGAAAGACAGAUACCUCAAAGGACAAAUAAGAAAAAGAUACAAACAACUCAUAAAUAUGCAUGGACAACAAAUAUAAUCAUCCUUACUAUUAAAAAGGAAAAUUCAAUUAAAAUAAGAACUAGGAGUUCCUGCUGUGGCACAGUGGGUUAAGAAUCUGACUUCAGGGGCUUGGGUUGCUACGGAGAUGCAGGUUUGAUCCCUGGGCUAAAGGUUCUGGUGUUGUCAGAGCUGUAGGGUAGUUUGCACCUGUGCCUCAGAUUUGAUCCCUGGCCUGGGAGUUCCCAUAUGAUGAGGAUGCCACAAUUAAAAACAAAAAAGAACUAACUUUGUUCCUCCCUUUCUUUCCUUCCUUUCCUUUCCUUUCCCCUCUCUCCCUCCCUCACCUCCUUUCCUUUGCUCUUUCUGUCUCUCCACAGUAAGAUAUUUCUACUUGUAAUUUGAAUUACAAGCUAU
rnacentral:lncRNA from 1 species